AUUGAACGCUGGCGGCAUGCUUUACACAUGCAAGUCGAACGGUAACAGGUUAAGCUGACGAGUGGCGAACGGGUGAGUAAUGCAUCGGAACGUGCCCGGUCGUGGGGGAUAACGCAGCGAAAGUUGUGCUAAUACCGCAUACGAUCUGAGGAUGAAAGCGGGGGACCGUAAGGCCUCGCGCGAUCGGAGCGGCCGAUGUCAGAUUAGGUAGUUGGUGGGGUAAAGGCUCACCAAGCCAACGAUCUGUAGCUGGUCUGAGAGGACGACCAGCCACACUGGGACUGAGACACGGCCCAGACUCCUACGGGAGGCAGCAGUGGGGAAUUUUGGACAAUGGGCGAAAGCCUGAUCCAGCAAUGCCGCGUGCAGGAAGAAGGCCUUCGGGUUGUAAACUGCUUUUGUACGGAGCGAAAAGGUCUCCUCUAAUACAGGGGGCUCAUGACGGUACCGUAAGAAUAAGCACCGGCUAACUACGUGCCAGCCGCCGCAGUAA
rnacentral:rRNA from 1 species